UACAGAGGGUGCGAGCGUUAAUCGGAUUUACUGGGCGUAAAGCGUGCGUAGGUGGUUUGAUAAGUCGGUUGUGAAAGCCCCGGGCUCAACCUGGGAAUUGCAGCCGAUACUGUCAGACUAGAAAACGGUAGAGGGGGGUGGAACUCCAGGUGUAGCGGUGAAAUGCGUAGAUAUCUGGAAGAACACCGAUGGCGAAGGCAGCCCCCUGGGCCUUUUUUGACACUGAGGCACGAAAGCGUGGGUAGCAAACAGG
rnacentral:rRNA from 1 species